UCCCUGGAAGUCCAGUGGUUAAGACUGACUGCACCUUCCAAUGCAGAGGGUACAGGUUCAAUUCCUGGUCAAGGAG
rfam:TPA: Bos taurus chromosome 12, whole genome shotgun sequence.